UUCUGGUGUUACUUCUUUAGUUCUGACAGCUAAUUUUCUUGGUAGUGCCAUGACAGUUCUGCAGGAAGAUGGAGCUUUUCACUUCCAAGCUAGUGAAAUGGAACUAAUGGAGGCAGGUGUAAUGUCCCAGUCUAUGCUUGGAGAAAUCUUUCCUGAGCUUUCACCAGCAUUUCAAAACUAUAAAGUAGAGAUCAAGGUGGAUGAACUACCAAUGGUCACCUUGGAGCCAGCCAAAGCCAUUCUCCACCUUUACUCUACCAUGGAAAUGAGGGCAGAUUUACAAGACACUUUAGAACAGUCUUUGUUUGUGAUAAAUCUGCACAUGAAUUUCAGAAUACAGUUUUCCAUUUAUAAAACAAGCCUCCACUGUGAGCUUUCACUAGACAGGUAAGAGAAUGGACCAUAUUCAUGACUUUCUACAGUGUUAACAGUGCAAAACAAUUCUGUCAUGUAGUAAAACGUGCUAAGAUUGUUCCAGGUGUAGCAAACCUCAGUAACCAAUCAUAUGCUUUGCUCUGCCAGACAGGAAACCGGGGAAUACUACCUGCUGAAUGGUUGUUGUGGGUUACUAUAACUUUCUCGUUUAAUACUUUAUCCUCUUAGUUUCAGUAGAGAAGGAAGGUACAAAUAUUGGCAUAUAAUUUGAAAAGACUUCCUUCAAUGUAUUCUCAAUCUUCAUAAAGAGUGAAAAAUAUAAAUAUUAGAAUAGGGUAGGGCUGGGACCCACAGCCUUUUUUUUUUUACAAGUGAGCCACAUUAAAAGGGCAUAAUAAGAACCAAAGUCAGUUUAGCUCACUUUAUUUUCAUUAAUGCAAGGCAUGGCAUUAGAGUUAUCAAGGCAAAGCUGCCCCAAGUUUGCUCCCCAGUUGCCUUCAAGUUGUCAUUGGUUUGGUCCAUCUUCCUGCUCCUCCUCUACUUUGGUGCAGCACCUAUGUACCAGUACUGUGCAUGACAUGGCUACAAACCUAUAAAUAAAGAAUUCUCCACUGAAAAAAUUCACUGGAGGAAUCUAGAAUGUAAGUGGUGGGGAUAAAAGUCUGUGGUAAGUCCAUUUAUAACAUGUAAGGUCAGGGUGCAAAGUCCAAAAUACAGACGCAAUCAGAGCACCUUUUGCUCCUCUUAGUUUUCCUGGACAUUUAGCAAGGGCAGAUUUAAAUGAAUGAUCAAUAUUAGCUAGACCUUUAGUUGUACUCAAAUAAUCUUUUCAAGAAUCAUUAUGAUUAGUUUUAAUUGGAUAUGCCUACUUACUGUAUCCAAGAUGAUUACAAUAAUGUACCUAGACCUAUUUCCUCUACUGCACGCUCAUCAUUUUUUAUUUUAUGUGCCAAGAACUUUCCUUACGCUGAACUCAUCCUCAGUUGGCCAGUUUGACGUAAGUACCAUGUGGCACAAGCCAAAAGAUUGACUAGGCUAUAAACUAAAAAUUAGUGGCCAUUUAAUGUAAAUUGUCAUACAUACAGUAUCUGUUAUGUUUAGGUUCAAAACCUUGAUGACUUUAUCAGAUCACUGAUUCAUGAACUGUACACAAACUCAGUGAAUGGUAUGUAUGUAGGUAACUUUAAGUUGUAUUAUAAUUGAUGUUCUAUUCCAUAAAUAUCCCAACACCAAUAUCGAGGUUCAAAUAGGUAUAUAGUUUUCACUCGCUCGAUCCGUUAUAAUAUAAAGCUUAAUAGCGGUUGAUAGCCGCUCACCGUUGGUAGUAAAUGGCUCGGGUGCACCUGCCCCGAACCCUGCUCUUGUUACACAAUCCUCCACACAUUAUUCCCAACGCUUGUUUUCACACAUAGAUAAAUACAAGGAUCGGCUUACCCUCUCCACGGGGUGACCCGGUUGCUGCUGCCCCGAGUCUGUUGCUAAGGGAGACGUUUUGACAAUACACAUCCAAGAGUCAAAAGAUCGUGCAGGUUCGUAUUCAGUUAAAAGAUCAUCCUUUAUUAAUUACAACGAAAUGUCUUACACAUUUCGUAACUAUGUUCUUCAUCAGAGACCUGAUCAGGAUGAUCUUUUAACUAAAUACGAACCUGCGCGAUCUCUUGACUCUGGAGUGUGCUGCAACGUCUUGGAUGUGUAUUAUAAUUGAUGUUCUAAAAAUAAACUCUUAUUUUGAUUUGAUUGUCUUGUUUAGGUGUACUCCAAGCAGGUAUCCCUCUACCUGAUAUGGCAACGAUAUUGGAUAUAGACUUCACCAAAGGUCACAUUAAAGCAAUCAAGAAUUUUCUGGUGUUUUCAGUCAAUGUUUGCAAACACUAAGUUAAAGAGUUGGAGCAGUCUAUUUGUUACUCAAGAAAACCGCAAUCAAAAUGUGCACAACUUCUAAAGUAAUUCUUCUUGACCAUGUCCAGUAUGGUCUCAUAAUCCCAUGAUGGUUUUUAUUUUCACACCUUUGGAUGAGUCCUGUAGUCCAGCCCACAACACAUAAAAUGAGCACCAUAUAUAAUGAACGGCAAAAAAAGUUUUAGUCCCAUCAAUAUUGUUUUAAAUCUUGUAUUGCAAAUGCUCAGAUGUCUUAUAACAUGUAGUUAUGAAUAAAUUCCAUUCUGUUGCUGUGCAAACUUUUUUUUGGUCACAUUAUAACAAGACAACUAUAAGCUCCAAUGGCGAGUCAGAGUACAGCACCAUUUUGCAUUAAAACCCUUUAUUCCAAACACAUAGCUCAGAUCAUGGAAAUCAGCAACAUUUCUGGCAACCAUUGGCCAUUUUUAAGCUUACAGACAACUGGCAAUCAAGCCUUUUUAUAGAAAGUGCCAUAAUGCCAUCUAG